ensembl:processed_transcript Gm17233 predicted gene 17233
GUAGAUCACCAAAGAGGCAGCAGAUGUCAAGUAAGUGCAUGCAGUAACAGUGCAGGUCAUGCAUUAUCCAGGGGAUGCACAGGGUGUCAGCCGCAGCGCUGCACACCAGCUGGACACCACCAAAGGCUGGGACAACAGAACUCUCCUCCAUUGCUAGUGAGAAGACUUCUUAUCAGUGACUUACGAAACUAAACACAACCUUACCCUAAGAUCACAGUCAUGCGCCGCCUUGUGAUUUACUAAAAGGAACUGAGAAUAUGUCUACACAAAACCUAUACAGCUCUUUGACCACUUCCUCACAAUUGCCAAACCCUGGAAGCAACCAAGAUACCUUUAAAUAGGUGAAUGGAUAAACUUGUAAGUCCAGAGAGUAGAACUGUUACUCAGCACUGAAAAAGCUACUAAGCCAUGUAAAGAGAAUGGAACAAUCUUUAGCAUCUAUCACUACAUAAAAGAAGGUAGUGUGAAGAAUCUGCAUGCCAAGAUUUCAGUGGUGUUUUGGAAAAGAACCGUCCCAAGAGGACAAGGACAAGCUUACCCACGGAGAGAAGGCGCCAGGUGACAGCCGGGGUGGCGAAGCAGGCAAAUACGUCAUCGGUGCAGCAGAAGUGGGUGUGGUGUGGAAGGAUCAC